rnacentral:rRNA from 1 species
AUUGAACGCUGGCGGCAUGCCUUACACGUGCAAGUCGAACGGUAACAGGUCUUCGGAUGCUGACGAGUGGCGAACGGGUGAGUAAUACAUCGGAACGUGCCUAGUAGUGGGGGAUAACUACUCGAAAGAGUGGCUAAUACCUCAUGAGAUCUACGGAUGAAAGCAGGGGAUCGCAAGACCUUGUGCUACUAGAGCGGCCGAUGGCAGAUUAGGGAGUUGGUGGGAUAAAAGCUUACCAAGCCGACGAUCUGUAGCUGGUCUGAGAGGACGAUCAGCCACACUGGGACUGAGACACGGCCCAGACUCCUACGGGAGGCAGCAGUGGGGAAUUUUGGACAAUGGGCGCAAGCCUGAUCCAGCAAUGCCGCGUGCAGGAUGAAGGCCUUCGGGUUGUAAACUGCUUUUGUACGGAACGAAAAGCCCCGGGUUAAUACCCUGGAGUCAUGACGGUACCGUAAGAAUAAGCACCGGCUAACUACGUGCCAGCAGCCGCCGUAA